rnacentral:rRNA from 1 species
GAUGAACGCUGGCGGCGUGCCUAAUACAUGCAAGUCGAGCGAACAGACGAGGAGCUUGCUCCUUUGACGUUAGCGGCGGACGGGUGAGUAACACGUGGAUAACCUACCUAUAAGACUGGGAUAACUUCGGGAAACCGGAGCUAAUACCGGAUAACAUGUUGAACCGCAUGGCUCAACAGUGAAAGACGGUCUUGCUGUCACUUAUAGAUGGAUCCGCGCCGCAUUAGCUAGUUGGUAAGGUAACGGCUUACCAAGGCAACGAUGCGUAGCCGACCUGAGAGGGUGAUCGGCCACACUGGAAGUGAGACACGGUCCAGACUCCUACGGGAGGCAGCAGUAGGGAAUCCUCCGCAAUGGGCGAAAGCCUGACGGAGCAACGCCGCGUGAGUGAAGAAGGUCUUCGGAUCGUAAAACUCUGUUAUUAGGGAAGAACAAAUGUGUAAGUAACUAUGCACGUCUUGACGGUACCUAAUCAGAAAGCCACGGCUAACUACGUG